GACGAACGCUGGCGGCGUGCUUAACACAUGCAAGUCGAACGGAAAGGCCCUGCUUUUGUGGGGUGCUCGAGUGGCGAACGGGUGAGUAACACGUGAGUAACCUGCCCUUGACUUUGGGAUAACUUCAGGAAACUGGGGCUAAUACCGGAUAGGAGCUCCUGCUGCAUGGUGGGGGUUGGAAAGUUUCGGCGGUUGGGGAUGGACUCGCGGCUUAUCAGCUUGUUGGUGGGGUAGUGGCUUACCAAGGCUUUGACGGGUAGCCGGCCUGAGAGGGUGACCGGCCACAUUGGGACUGAGAUACGGCCCAGACUGCUACGGGAGGCAGAAGUGGGGAAUAUUGCACAAUAGGCGGAAGCCUGAUGAAGCAACGCCGCGUGCGGGAUGACGGGUUUCGGGUUGUAAACCGCUUUCGCCUGUGACGAAGCGUGAGUGACGGUAAUGGGUAAAGAAGCACCGGCUAACUACGUG
rnacentral:rRNA from 1 species